CUUCCGUAGGGGGAACCUGCGGAAGGAUCAUUACAGAAUGAAAAGUGCUUAACUGCAUUUUUUCUUACACAUGUGUUUUUCUUUUUUUGAAAACUUUGCUUUGGUAGGCCUUCUAUAUGGGGCCUGCCAGAGAUUAAACUCAACCAAAUUUUAUUUAAUGUCAACCGAUUAUUUAAUAGUCAAAACUUUCAACAACGGAUCUCUUGGUUCUCGCAUCGAUGAAGAACGCAGCGAAAUGCGAUAAGUAAUAUGAAUUGCAGAUAUUCGUGAAUCAUCGAAUCUUUGAACGCACAUUGCGCCCUUUGGUAUUCCAAAGGGCAUGCCUGUUUGAGCGUCAUUUCUCCCUCAAACCCUCGGGUUUGGUGUUGAGCGAUACGCUGGGUUUGCUUGAAAGAAAGGCGGAGUAUAAACUAAUGGAUAGGUUUUUUCCACUCAUUGGUACAAACUCCAAAACUUCUUCCAAAUUCGACCUCAAAUCAGGUAGGACUACCCGCUGAACUUAAGCAUAUCAAUAAGCGGAGGAAA
rnacentral:rRNA from 1 species